rnacentral:rRNA from 1 species
UUCGAUUCUGGCUCAGAGUGAACGCUGGCGGCGUGCCUAAUACAUGCAAGUCGAACGAUGAAGCUCUAGCUUGCUAGAGUGGAUUAGUGGCGCACGGGUGAGUAAUGCAUAGAUAACAUGCCCUUUAGUCUAGGAUAGCCAUUGGAAACGAUGAUUAAUACUGGAUACUCCUUACGAGGGAAAGUUUUUCGCUAAAGGAUUGGUCUAUGUCCUAUCAGCUUGUUGGUGAGGUAAUGGCUCACCAAGGCUAUGACGGGUAUCCGGCCUGAGAGGGUGAACGGACACACUGGAACUGAGACACGGUCCAGACUCCUACGGGAGGCAGCAGUAGGGAAUAUUGCUCAAUGGGGGAAACCCUGAAGCAGCAACGCCGCGUGGAGGAUGAAGGUUUUCGGAUUGUAAACUCCUUUUGUUAGAGAAGAUAAUGACGGUAUCUAACGAAUAAGCACCGGCUAACUCCGUGCCAGCAGCCGCGGUAAUACGGAGGGUGCAAGCGUUACUCGGAAUCACUGGGCGUAAAGAGCGCGUAGGCGGGAUAGCAAGUCAGAUGUGAAAUCCUAUGGCUUAACCAUAGAACUGCAUUUGAAACUGUUAUUCUAGAGUAUGGGAGAGGUAGGUGGAAUUCUUGGUGUAGGGGUAAAAUCCGUAGAGAUCAAGAGGAAUACUCAUUGCGAAGGCGACCUGCUAGAACAUAACUGACGCUGAUGCGCGAAAGCGUGGGGAGCAAACAGGAUUAGAUACCCUGGUAGUCCACGCCCUAAACGAUGAAUGCUAGUUGUUGUGGAGCUUGUCUCUGCAGUAAUGCAGCUAACGCAUUAAGCAUUCCGCCUGGGGAGUACGGUCGCAAGAUUAAAACUCAAAGGAAUAGACGGGGACCCGCACAAGCGGUGGAGCAUGUGGUUUAAUUCGAAGAUACACGAAGAACCUUACCUAGGCUUGACAUUGAUAGAAUCCGCUAGAGAUAGUGGAGUGCUAGCUUGCUAGAACUUGAAAACAGGUGCUGCACGGCUGUCGUCAGCUCGUGUCGUGAGAUGUUGGGUUAAGUCCCGCAACGAGCGCAACCCUCGUCCUUAGUUGCUAACUAUUCGGUAGAGCACUCUAAGGAGACUGCCUUCGCAAGGAGGAGGAAGGUGAGGAUGACGUCAAGUCAUCAUGGCCCUUACGCCUAGGGCUACACACGUGCUACAAUGGGAAGCACAAAGAGAUGCAAUAUUGUGAAAUGGAGCAAAUCUAUAAAACUUCUCUCAGUUCGGAUUGUAGUCUGCAACUCGACUACAUGAAGCUGGAAUCGCUAGUAAUCGUAAAUCAGCUAUGUUACGGUGAAUACGUUCCCGGGUCUUGUACUCACCGCCCGUCACACCAUGGGAGUUGUAUUCGCCUUAAGUCGGAAUGCCAAACUGGCUACCGCCCACGGCGGAUGCAGCGACUGGGGUGAAGUCGUAAAAAGGUACCC